CAUUAGCCCCGAUAAUAGUGGAAAUCCUUUUUGUUUUUUCUUUAAAAACAAAAAGAUUGCAACGGAUAGCGGGAACAAUG
rnacentral:sRNA from 1 species